rnacentral:rRNA from 1 species
GCUCAGAAUGAACGCUGGCGGGUGCUUACACAUGCAAGUCGCACGAGAACACCUCAGCCUGCUGGGGUAAGUAAAGUGGCGCACGGGUGAGUAACGCGUGGGUAAUCUGCCCUCGAAUCUGGGAUAACCCCGCGAAAGCGGGGCUAAUACCGGAUGAAAUCCAGUUAGCUUUGGCUAUAUGGAUCAAAGGUGGCCUCUGCAUGCAAGCUACUGUUUGGGGAUGAGCCCGCGUACCAUUAGCUUGUUGGUGGGGUAAAGGCCCACCAAGGCGACGAUGGUUAGCUGGUCUGAGAGGAUGAUCAGCCACACUGGAACUGGAACACGGUCCAGACUCCUACGGGAGGCAGCAGUGAGGAAUUUUGCGCAAUGGGGGUAACCCUGACGCAGCAACGCCGCGUGAGUGAUGAAGGCCUUCGGGUCGUAAAGCUCUGUCAAGUGGGAAGAACCCAUUCCGGCACAACAAGCCGGGGUGCUGACGGUACCACUGAAGGAAGCACCGGCUAACUCCGUGCCAGCAGCCGCGGUAAUACGGAGGGUGCGAGCGUUAUUCGGAAUUACUGGGCGUAAAGGGCGCGUAGGCGGCCGAUUAAGUCAGAUGUGAAAUCCCGGGGCUUACCCCCGGAAGUGCAUUUGAUACUGAACGGCUUGAGUAUGGGAGAGGGAAGUGGAAUUCCUGGUGUAGCGGUGAAAUGCGUAGAUAUCAGGAGGAACACCGGUGGCGAAGGCGACUUCCUGGACCAAUACUGACGCUGAGGCGCG